CUCUCGAAUGAAGUGUAUGGUGAUGUUGUUUCGUGUCGGAAAAGAAUCCUAAUCAAUUCUAAGUAGAAGUGUAAAAAAUGCAUUAAAGUUAGAAACGAAAUCAAAGCAAAAUAAAAAUCACAGUAUGUGAAGAGUAAAAAGGAAAACUACACCAUUAAGAAUUUAUUUAACUAAAAAAAAAACAAAAGCAAGGUAUGAACGGAAUUACUCGCGCAAGAGCAGCAACAACUAAAAAACAACGUCGACGUUAACGUUUGUUGCUUUUACGUAUUGUUGUUUUUUAAGUGUCCGCUGUGGGUAGUAAAGACAGAAAAACAAAAGAAAAAAUCAAAUUAAACCUUAUGCACACUGUAGUUGUUUUUGGCGAUUGUUGGUGUUGUAUUCACACUGCAAAUGCAUAGUGUUGAAUACAUAAAGCAUAAAUGAAAUAACAGGGCGACGACGCGUGUUCUCGCUUAUACUGAUGCUCUGCACAGUCAACUGUAAAGUUAAACAUAGUAGCGACUCAUUUAGAUAACAACACUACAACAACAAUAGUACACACCAGACAUAUAGACUAUAUGAAUUUAAGAAUUUAAUGGCAAUUUCUUUGAAUUAAAUAACUUUAAAAUGUGUAGUGAAUCUAUAUUUAUAUCUAUAUACGGUAAUAAACUGUAAUUUAAAGCAGAGAAAAUAAUAACUAAUGAUAAUAUUGCAAUGAGAUUUAUUUAUAAAUAAACACAAAGCUCACAUAAUUUGUGGAAAUUCUAAAAAUAAUAUCGUAAACAUGAUGAUGGAAACAAAAAUAAGCGUCUGUAAUAAAUCAGCUAACUUAAAAUUACCGCAUAAAUCAAUGUUAAAUAUUUAUUUGAUGUUAUAUGGCUGAUGCUCAAAUUUUUUUAAUAUUAACAUUGAAAAUCCGUCCGAUUUGCUGUGUAUAAACAACGACGGUGCUAUUAUCAUCAUCGGAAAGAAAUAUUGAAUUUAUAUUUCUAAUAAAUUUGCAUUAAAUGUG